AUUGAACGCUGGCGGCAGGCCUAACACAUGCAAGUCGAACGAGUGGCGGACGGGUGAGUAAUGUCUGGGAAACUGCCUGAUGGAGGGGGAUAACUACUGGAAACGGUAGCUAAUACCGCAUACCCUCGGAUGUGCCCAGAUGGGAUUAGCUAGUAGGUGGGGUAAAGGCUCACCUAGGCGACGCUCCCUAGCUGGUCUGAGAGGAUGACCAGCCACACUGGAACUUGGACACGGUGCAGACUCUUACGAGAGUGAGCAGUGGGGAAUAUUGCAAAAUGGGCGCAAGCCUGAUGCAGCCAGGCCGCGUGUAUGAAGAAGGCCUUCGGUAUUCAAAGUACUUUCAGCGGGGAGGCGUUACCCGCAGAAGAAGCACCGGCUAACUCCGUGCCAGCAGCCGCGGUAAUUC
rnacentral:rRNA from 1 species